rnacentral:sRNA from 1 species
AAAUUCAAUGUGUAGCCAUUGCGGUAGAAAAAGCCAGUGACAAGAAGAAUC